rnacentral:rRNA from 1 species
CGUUCCCAUACCGAACACGGAAGUUAAGCUCUUCAGCGCCGAUGGUAGUUGGGGGUUUCCCCCUGUGAGAGUAGGACAUCGCCAGGC